rnacentral:rRNA from 1 species
UACGUAGGGUGCAAGCGUUGUCCGGAAUUAUUGGGCGUAAAGAGCUCGUAGGCGGUUUGUCGCGUCUGCUGUGAAAACUGGGGGCUCAACCCCCAGCCUGCAGUGGGUACGGGCAGACUAGAGUGCGGUAGGGGAGAUUGGAAUUCCUGGUGUAGCGGUGGAAUGCGCAGAUAUCAGGAGGAACACCGAUGGCGAAGGCAGGUCACUGGGCCGCAACUGACGCUGAGGAGCGAAAGCAUGGGGAGCGAACAGG